rnacentral:rRNA from 1 species
GAUGAACGCUGGCGGCGUGCCUAAUACAUGCAAGUCGAGCGAACAGACGAGGAGCUUGCUCCUCUGACGUUAGCGGCGGACGGGUGAGUAACACGUGGAUAACCUACCUAUAAGACUGGGAUAACUUCGGGAAACCGGAGCUAAUACCGGAUAAUAUAUUUAACCGCAUGGUUCAAUAGUGAAAGACGGUUUUGCUGUCACUUAUAGAUGGAUCCGCGCUGCAUUAGCUAGUUGGUAAGGUAACGGCUUACCAAGGCAACGAUGCGUAGCCGACGUGAGAGGGUGAUCGGCGACACUGGAAGUGGGACACGGUCCAGACUCCUACGGGAGGCAGCAGUAGGGAAUCUUCCGCGAUGGGCGGAAGCCUGACGGAGCAACGCCGCGUGGGUGAUGAAGGUCUUCGGAUCGUAAAACUCUGUUAUGAGGGAAGAACAAAUGUGUAAGUAACUAUGCACGUCUUGACGGUACCUAAUCAGAAAGCCACGGCUAACUACGUG